rnacentral:rRNA from 1 species
GUCUACGGUCAUGCCUCCCUGACUCUGAUCUCAGAAGCUAAGCAGGGUCGGGCCUGGUUAGUACUUGGAUGGGAGACCGCCUUCGAAAACUAGGUGCUGUAGGCA